GAACAUUUCCCUGUCCGCCUGUUAGUGUUUAUUUCUUCCCCUUCUCCUCCUGGGAGCCGACACCUCCCAGCCCUCACCUUUCACACGCUGCUCUCCCUUCCUUGCCUCCAUCCCUCCCGUCACCCCUCUCCCUCCUCCUCCUCCUUUCCCAGCUCAGCAGCGGAGAUUUCUGUUUGUGCCAGUGGGGCGGCCUGGCGAGACCGCAAUUGCUCUACCCCACAGAUUGACGAGCCCUCAGAUGCCGAUUUACUGUACAUGGCAGCCACGCUGGAGCCGAGGCACAUCUGGAGUGGAGUAAGCUUACUCAGAAACAGGGGCCAGCUCCAGCCGGAGCCAGCGGAGCCGAGCGCGGCACUUGAAGGCAGCCCUCCUGCCUCCCUUCCCUCUCCCCGGCAAAAUGAUAAAGUUUGCAGUUUAGUUGUUCAGAUGACACUCAAGUGACAAGCAUGCAAUUUAAAAAGGGUUUUCCCACACGUUGUUCCACACAACCCAAAAGAUGUUGCAGUGAGUAAAGGAGAGAAAAU
rnacentral:lncRNA from 1 species